AAACAACGAUGUAAGGCUAAAAUUGGAGUGUACCACCACAACGAGUUGCCCAACAGUAGUUUGGCAUGUUGAGGACACAAGACCUUUGACAGGCGCCCUCAAACACUGCUACGAAAAAGCAAAGCAAAGACCACUGCUACACAGAAUAGAUGGUGGCAAUGAAUACAUGGUGACAAGUGAAAAUCUGAAAAAUGCACAGUCCAGGUCUCUGAAUCUCAAUGUGAUAGCGUAUGGUAAGACGACAUCUGGAGUUGUCAAGUACACCAUUCAGAUACCAGGUGUUGCAACACCUGCACCUGUUGCCACUAACAUACCGCCUGCUACUACCCUACCAGCUGCUACCACCAUCCUACCGGCUGUUACUACUCGUCCAGCUGCUACUACCAUACCAGUUGCUACCAUCCCACUGGUAGCUACUACCCUCCCGGCUGCUACCACCAUACCGGCAACUACUACCGUACC